rnacentral:tRNA from 1 species
GCCCGGUUAGCUCAGCCGGUAGAGCACCAGACUCUUAAUCGGUGUCGCGGGUUCGAGCCCCGCAUCGGGCU